AAAUUUGAACCCAAUCAUUUGGACUUUAGGCCCAUUUUCGCACCAAGGACCUGUGUAUACAAAAAGUGUAUAUCGAUGUAUAUAGGCCGUAUUUCGAUCUAUUUUUGUGUAUAUCGGACUGAAUACCGAAUGUAUACAGUCUAUUUUGACCCCUGCAACCUGCCUUUCAUUUUUUGAACCUGUAUAUCGGUGUUUUUGCCAUGUAUAUCAAUGUAUACGGCUGUAUACAGCCUGAUCUUAGCUUUCCAGGACAAUAUUUUGCUUCUAAUUUUUCAACAAUAACCAGGGCUGACUCGGGACAACUCAACGAUAUGCAAGGGAUGAGUCCAAAUGGACUCGGAUGGAGUUUCACAUGCAAAUAAAGAGAGAAGAUUAGCAUUCACACUUCAAUAAAUUCACAAGAAUAACAUCUUUAGUGAAAAUACAAUAAGACAUAACUAAAACCAUUUUCAGCAUACACAAAAGGGAAAUGGACUGUAUGUCCACAUAUACAAAUAGAGGACAACUAGUGAAAAACAUAUGAACAUUAAUUCGGGUGUCAUUCUUUCAACAUAAACUAAAAGCAAUAGAGAAAAAUAACAAAAGUGUUGGGAAUUUUUCUCCAAGUUUGAUUGGCUUUAAAGAAAGUUCUAGACAAGAUUUACAUCUACCAUAUAAGGAGAGCAAACUAAUUAUAAAUUAGUAUUGAAUAGUCGUAUUAUCAAACCAAAACAAACUUGUUCCUUCUAAUUUUAAGGAUAAUAAGCCUAACUUUUAAACAAAUGUAAAGUAAGCUAAACCAUGACAAUUUGAUCCAAGAAACAAAUGAGCUAUUGUUUUAACGAUUUCAACAAAAGAAACUAACUCCUACAAUGUAUGCAAAAUAAGCAAAUUCCAUGCCUUAAGGCUACAAAAGCUUGACAGACACAUAUUUAGAUUUUACGGGCAUACAUAAAUAAUACAUACACUUGAAAUUUGAAGCAUCUUUAUGAAAGCUUUACUAAUGCAAGCCACAAAUAAAUACAUGUAAUGAUAUACUAUGCUAAGAAAUUAAUUUAGGCUACUACAAUCUUUAAAGAAAUCCGAACGUAAUACAUUUCAAUGAAUCAUGGCUACUACGUGAAAUCUAUACACCAAACCAACUUCUAUAUGGCAUACAUUCAAUCCUAGAGACUUGACUACUCAACAUACAUCAAGACCUUUUGAACUCUAAGAAAUCAGAAGCAGGCAAAACAAUAAUAAACAUCAUAUACACGAUUCUUUGCUUAACUAUAUGAAAUCAACACAAGCAUGAUUCUGAAAUUGAAGAGACAUAUACCCGACAAAAUCAAAACCCAAACAAAUGAAAUCAACCAAACAUCACAACGAGGAGAAGGAAAAAUAAAGGGGAAAAAUAGGACACCAUUCGCUACACACUGUGGCACCAGUCGAGACGCACAAAAAACGAAGUUCGGCCUACACGGCCUAUCUUUAGAAAAAACUAAAUUUUUAGGACUCCAAACUCACGCACAAGUUAUAAGCGACAAGAGGGGUCAUGCUUUGGAGUAAAGGGACCUUAGCAGGGGAAAGCUUGUAUGGAAAUUCAAAUGAAAUCAACCCGACUUUGAGCAAAAGAAAAAUCGAGAAGAAUCAUUUUGAGCAAACAAACCAAAUGUAGACUGAUUAGCAAUCGACAAUGAGUGGAGAACA
rnacentral:lncRNA from 1 species